GCGAGUGGCGAACGGGUGAGUAAUAUAUCGGAACGUGCCCUGGAGUGGGGGAUAACGCGGCGAAAGUUGCGCUAAUACCGCAUACGAUCUAAGGAUGAAAGCGGGGGAUUCGCAAGAACCUCGUGCUCCUGGAGUGGCCGAUAUCUGAUUAGCUAGUUGGUGGGGUAAAGGCCUACCAAGGCAUCGAUCAGUAGCUGGUCUGAGAGGACGACCAGCCACACUGGAACUGAGACACGGUCCAGACUCCUACGGGAGGCAGCAGUGGGGAAUUUUGGACAAUGGGCGCAAGCCUGAUCCAGCAAUGCCGCGUGAGUGAAGAAGGCCUUCGGGUUGUAAAGCUCUUUUGUCAGGGAAGAAACGGUUGAGGCUAAUAUCCUUUACUAAUGACGGUACCUGAAGAAUAAGCACCGGCUAACUACGUGCCAGCAGCCGCGGUAAUACGUAGGGUGCAAGCGUUAAUCGGAAUUACUGGGCGUAAAGCGUGCGCAGG
rnacentral:rRNA from 1 species